GCCAGUUCGGGUCGCUAGUGUAGGGGAUAAAUUGGUGGGGGUGUAUUCCUGUUAUGAUUCCGUAUUCAAUGUUCCGUGUUCCGUGUUCCAUGUUUAUUACGAAUAUGUGUGUUUUCCUCUGCUGUAUAUUCCUGCAUUCCUGCUCUACUCUGUUUUAUAUUCCUUAUGGGUGCCGUAUCUAUGUUAUGUCAUCUGCUUCUGUGCUGUACUAUGUGUUUGUGUGAUAUCUCGUGACUUGAGCCGGGGGUCUUUCGGAAACAGCCUUUCUACUUCAUCAGAGGUAGAGGUAUGGACUGCGUACAUCUUACCCCCCCAGACCCCACUAAGUGGGAAUACACUGGGUUUGUUGUUGUUGUUGUCUUUGAUAAGAGAAAUGGCGUUGGAGAAAUACUAUAUUGAUGUAUCACUUAUUGUUUAAAAUAUGAGUCUACAAGAAUGUAGGACUUGUAAUAUUAACUUUAUUUUCUUUUUAAUGACUAAAUUAAAAUCCUCAAGAUCCUUUUACAUUCUCUUGUUAAUCAUCUUCCCCAAACAUAUACAGAAGUCCUAAUAUUUAUGCUCCACUAAUAUGACAAUUUAAUUUGAUGUGCUGGUUGAAAAUCCACCAGCAUUUACCUUUCCUAUGCAUAUUAACUAACGAAAACAACCAAUUCUAUUCAAAUUAGUGCUCCAACAAUUUAUAUGUAUCCUGCCCCUGAUCAUGACCCAUUAAAACUUCUGGAUAGAGGAAGUUACACAUACGAAGAAAAACACGUUUUCUAAACUAAUACUCAGCUGGGCAACAGAACUAAAAUAAGAAAAAGGCCAAAUUUAACCCUUUACUUUGAUAUAUAGUUCACAUCUACCCUCCGUUUCACUUUGCAUCCAAAUAUGCCCUUGCCGUCAACAAAGUAUUCACCCCCAACCCUUACGGAGGUCCACAUGACAUGGACCCAACACUUAAAAUUACUAAUUGAAUUAAAAUAUCCCAUUUUUUGACUGACACCCUUUUUAUUUGACCCAUACCCAGUUUCCUGACCCAUCAUUUCGUUAAGCAAUGAGACUGCCACUAUUGUACACAGAUCUUGGUCAACUUAAGGGCAAGUUAUGACCGAUACCAAUUGAAUCCAAGGUCUAAUAGUGCAAAGUUUUCUGUAAACAACCUAUAAGAUACAGCAUUAAAUUGACCUACUAGCCAAGACUAAACAAGUAACCUUCUUCAAUCAAAACAUAGCACAAAUUUGCGGUCACAUGGCAGCAACUGGCCAAUCCAGCACUAUUAAUCAUAUGAGCCAAUUCGCAACAUAUUCACGAACAAUGAAACUGGAAAGAUUUGCUGACAAUCUAGAACACUUCUAGCAAGAAGACAAAGGCGUUUUACUGAGACAAGAUAAGGAAAUCAGCAAUUUGAGAUCACAAAUUUGUUGAGUUGUUAUAAACUUAAUCACCAUUCAAGAUUUCAUGGUGUUUUGAUGAUUGAAAAAUAUUUCACAUGUAUGCAAAUGGAUGAUGGACAAAGAAGUACAAGAACCAGGUCCUUGGAGAUCUCCAAAAGAAAAUAGUCAAGCUCGCAACACUACAGAGUAAUUGUUGAGAGAGCCUGUUCCUUCAGACGAGAAUUGGAGACUAUUUCCUCUAUGCAAGAAGCAAUUCCACGAAAGGAAACCUUAGAGAAUUGUAAUUACCCUUCAAUUCUACAAGGAACUGAUGUUCAAGACAUGGAAAGUUACCAUAAUUGAACAAAAGGAAUUAGUUUGGAAUUAGGAGAAGUUUGUCUGAUGACAAACCAAGUCAAACAAGGAUUGGAUUCUUGGAAAUUCUUUAACUGAUACUUGGUUGAAUUUGGAGAAAUAUAAACAGCUACUCUAGUCCUAUAUAAAGCAUUGCUUUAAUGUUUUAUAGGUUGACCACCACAGAAGAGACACUAAACAUGUAUACAGAUCUAUACGAGAGUCUUGAAGAGAAGAGUCAACUGCUACAAUGAAGAACCAGUUUCAAUCUAGUAUUAUCAUUAGUGUGUUGAGUUGUAAUAGUUAGAUUCAUGUGGUUCAAAAACUAUAUGCUUUUACAUUCCUAAUGAUCUGUAGAAGUGUUGGUUUUGUAUUGUGUUGUAAAGGAACUUCUUAGACUGGGCAAAAUCUUUGAUAAGUUGAUACCGGAAUUAUAAGAAGACAAGAAAACACACUCAAAACAGUCCACAAAUCUGAAGAUUCAAGGACCGUUUAGAGACCACACUCGAUUCAACAAUAACAACAACAAUGACGAGAUAAAGGGUGUGUUUUAACACCGAAAUAGCCAACCCAAAGUAAGAUUAACAACAACAAUAUGAAGACAAGAUGAACAACAACAAGGAUAUAACAAUGACAACAAAUCACGGGUUACAAUACUAGAACAAGAACACCAACGAUUAGAACAAAGUAAAGAUAGAAAGAUCGACAAAUGGAGAUGUAACAUUAACAACCCAAGAGCUUAUUCCCCUUUAAUACCACACAAAACAUAAACCUAUCUCUUACGUGACCUCAAGGGAACCGGAAUCCCCAAGCAACCAACGUUUCUAAGCAAGCUACCAACACAAGGAUUCCACCUUGCCACAAGGAUUCCACCUUGCAAGACACUCUAUGGUACUCUCAAAACAUAUCAUCAAAAGCCUAAAUGACAAAAUGACCUAAUUGUUCUAUUUAUAGGCUAGGGCAACACUUGUUACAUAAAUGACCAAAAAGCCCUUAAUGAGCCCAAACAAAAGGGCUUGGCUUCUUGGACAGCUUUGGAGUGUUGGGACUUGUUCUCUACAUUUCAAAGCUUGUUCCUUGGUUAGGCAGCCCCACAAGCUCGGGUAUUCACUCACGUCUUCAUGUCCUCGAGUGCUAAGAUGCCUCUUUGACCAGUAUCAUCCUCCCCUCCUUAGAAAGGAUUCGUCCUCGAAUCUGAACCUUGCAAAAUAAUAGGAAGGACAAGCAAACACAAGUUUCUCAAGGUAUGAGGGUUAGGAUUAGCGUAAUCAAUCAUAGCAUCAUGCCAAGGUGGCUCAAAUUUCACAUAUAACCAAACAUCCCUCGAGUUCUCAAAAAUGACACACCAAUCACGGGAAACCCGAAUUACAUACAAGACAUGCUUAGCAUCAACAUAACCAUGCCCACACAAUACACACGCGUCAUUCCCGAAUAUGGUUUGAAAUGAAUCAACAUCACAUCACCGGAAUCAAAGGGGUAGAGUGUCCAUGGACAGGGUGGAGGACAUACUUCCUUUCCCCAAGACUUACCACCAUUACACUCAUUGACACCCUCUAUACUAACAUGAUCUACAACAAAAACAACUAGAGGGUCAUCCUUAGUCAAUCGGCCAACAUGUUCAACAUCACCAUUUUCACACACAAGUUGGUCUUCAUGACUUUCAUAAGACAAUGUACUAUCACUUGCCACAAUGGCUUCAAUACUAGAUGGAUCAACUAGUGUUUCCACAAUCUCAAGUUGUACAUUAUCAUCACCAAAUGGAGGCACAUUCGGCUCACCUAAAGGCAAACUAUCAUUCACACUUAGUUGGCUAUUAACCUCAUUCACUAGAGUGCAAGAGGUAGUUUGAUUACCUUGUAGCUCAUGUGGAGCAUGUCCACUCACGAGAACUUGAUUAGGAAGACUUGGUUGCUCUAUCAAGUUAUCUAACUCCUUGCAAACAGAGCUUUCCGUCCCUUCCAUUUUUCCUUUCACUCGGUCCAUUAUUCUUUCCAUUCUCUCCAUUCAACUAAUAGGGUCAUGUUUCAUACCCAUUAUGGCAGCCAUCAAAUCGUUCAUGGUCACCUUUCCCGAUGCCAUAGUACCUAUUAAGAACACUAAAACAUAAUAAAAACAAUAACACGUUAAUGUUAGCAAAAAUCAAUCCACGAGUCGACUCAAAACAGUCCACAAUUCCUCACUUUCACACUUUGACGUUUUCACUCUAUCGGUCUCAGAAGCGUUGAUAACUCGCUUAUACUCCAAUGAGGUUACUUGGUCCCAAUUGUGGCUCGAGCUCGGAGUAGAUUCUCGUUUGAAACGACUCAAUAAGUAAUGUACGAACUUGAACCAAAAGAUACUACGACUCAAAAACGAGAAAAGCACAAAACAAACAACAUUAACACGAAGAAGCGUAUUCAAAAACUAAUUUACAAUCUAGUAGAGGAGUACUAGCUUGUCGAUUAGUUAUUAGAGUCAACAAACGAUACUAGGAACCAACAAUAAUAAACUAAGAAAAUCCAAAUUUGAGCCAAAAUUUGUUGUGUGAACAGUAACAGUGACGUGGCAAUCACGUAUUAGUUGCGGCCUUACAAUUUUUUUAUUUUCCAAAAUUGAAAGUCUUGAGCAAUUGGUGAUUUGGAAUUGGUGGGAAUUGUUUUGGAGGAAAACAAGUCUUGAAAUCCUCUUCAAAUUCAAAAGAAUGAAAGACUUGACUUUUUGUACUAGUUCCCUAAAACAAGGUCCUUAAAACAAGGAAAGUUGUUGAGAAGUGAUUGACUAGUUGAUGGAUGAUUGCAAGUCUUACAAGACUAAUAAGUUUUCACCUUUUUCCCUUCACCUUUUUAAGAUCUAGUAGUCACUUUAUUCAUCAAGUUAUGAAGGUUGUAAGAACAUCAAGAACAUCUUCAUCAAACACCAAGAACUCAACAAUCCAAACGUCCACCUAUAACAACAACAACGCCAACAAGUCACAGCUAAAACUACAAUGAACAACAACAAUCGGCCACUCUUCAAGUUCACAACAACAACUCCAACAAUUUCAAACUCAAGUUUAGAUUUUAGACUCAAAGUGUUAGUGAACAAGAAAGCCAACACUUAGAAACAACUAAACAAACAAAUAUUAUUGGCCAAUACCCAACAAUAACACAAUUUUCGGCCAACACCAAAUGGACAGUUUUGCAAUUUUCUGAAAAUUUCAGUUUUCAACCUUUUUUGUUUCUUUUUUUUUCUUAAUUUUCAACCAAGGAAGCCCAAGAUUGGUGUUGUAGGAACAAAACCAAAGAUGGCUCUGAUACCAAAUGAUACCGAAACUAUCAAGAAGACAAGAAAACACACUCAAAACAGUCCACAAAUCCAAAGAUUCAAGGACCGUUUAGAGACCACACUCGGAUUCAACAAUAACAACAACAAUGACGAGAUAAAGGGUGUGCUUUAACACCGAAAUAGCCAACCCAAAGUAAGAUUAACAACAACAAUAUGAAGACAAGAUGAACAACAACAAGGAUAUAACAAGGACAACAAGUCACGGUUUACAAUACUAGAACAAGAACACCAACGAUUAGAACAAAGUAAAAAUAGAAAGAUAGACAAAUGGAGAUGUAAUAUUAACAACCCAAGAGUUUAUUCCACUCUUGAACCUUUAAUACCACACACAACAUAAACUUAUCUCUCACGUGACCUCAAGGGAACCGGAAUCCCCAAGCAACCAACGUUUCUAAGUAAGCUACCAACACAAGGAUUCCACCUUGCCACAAGACACUCUAUGGUUCUCUCAAAACAUAUCAUCAAAGUCUAAAUGACAAAAUGACCUAAUUGUUCUAUUUAUAGGCUAGGGCAACACUUGUUACAUAAAUGACCAAAAAGACCUUAAUGAGCCCAAACAAAGGGGCUUGACUUCUUGGACAGCUUUGGAGUGUUGGGACUUGUUCUCUACAUUUCAAAGCUUGUUCCUUGGUGAGGCAGCCCCACAAGCUCGGGUAUUCACUCACGUCUUCAUGUCCUCGAGUGCUAAGAUGCCUCUUUGACCCGUAUCAUAAGUGGAGAGUUACCAGCAAUUAAGGAGAAUUAUUGAGGAUUGGGGUAGGGAUUGUUAGAAUCGGUUCCAUAAGAGUACAAAGGAGUGGUAACCUUAAAAGUUGCUUGUGUUGUACUGGAGAGUUUAGGGGAAUUACAUUGGAGAAAGCUCAUGGUUUAUGCCUCCCUUGAGCAAGGAAUUUUCCACGACAAAAUCAUUGUGUUGAUUUACUUUUCCGCACUUCAUCUUCCUCCACAGUUUCUGAAAGAACCUGGCUCUUUCAAGCAAUAGGUUAGAGCAAAAUAACAACUGGUAUCAGAGUAGGCUCUUUCAAAGAGGCUUAACACCUUGAUGAACGAAUAAAGAUGGCUGGCCUACCAGAGAGUACAAGGACAAUCAACUACAAGGGCACAAUGCUUCAAUAAUGGUGGGUGGGAAGCAAGAAAGCAAGAAAGCAAAAAUUCAAAAAUGGAGAAAAAAGCUAUGGGAUUGUGAGUUGAAAGAGAAAUAAGAGAAAACUCAGGUUGAUUAUUCCCUCAAGCUAUUUGGGUUUAAAUAGCUAAGUUUUCAUGUCCUAAAAAAAGAAAGGAAAUCAAUACAAAUCCCUACCUGAUCAUAAUAGGAGUAAAUCAAUUUACCUACUAUAUUUACAUAUGUUGUAGAAUGAUCAAAGGGUUCUCAUAGAUUCUAACACUCCCCCUAUAGUUGGUGCAAACAAAUUAUAUGUACCAAGCUUGUUACUGUCGGAUAUUUGACGGUGGGCAUGAUCGGUUUCUCACAACUUGAAUUGUAUUAUUACAAAGUAAAAACCCGUUUCAGUCUUACAGUUCUUACACUCAAUUUUUCUGCACUCACACUCUAGCAACUCUCUUUGUUGCCAUCUCUUAUUCCUCACUUGUUACUUGCUUCAGCAACACUUUUACUUGAUCACUCACUAUCGUGUUCUUGAGCUCACUUAUUUGAGCACAUACUCUUUCUACUUGAGUACACAAAUUUGAGCACAUACUCUUUUACUUGAGCACACUUAUUUAAACAUACUCUCUUUUACUUAAGCAUACAUAAAACUCAAAUGGUCAUCUCCAUUGACGAGGGAGGAAUUAGCUUAAGGUAUUUACUACUCUAUUCUAGAAUGUUCCUCCAACUACAUAAUUCUAAAACUACCAUAUCUAGAAUAUUUCUAAACAUUUCUUUCUAGAACAUUCUAUCUAGAGAUCUUCUUUCAAUUAUCUACAACUCUUGAAUAUUCUAGAUUCUUCUUGAAGUGUCUUGGAUAUUAAUUAAGUUGGUGAUGAAUUCUUAAUACUCCCCUUUGGCACCAACUUAAUUUGUUUUUUGCCUUCACUUGCAACGAUUCCCCGGGCUUUGGAAUCAUCCUAAUGUUUUGACACUUUAUGAAUCUCUUCCUCCUUUAACUUUCUCCAAUCAUUACUCUUUGAAGCUUCUUCAAAGGCAGUAGUCUUUUUUAUCUUGACUAAAUCUGUUAAUGUGGCAUCUAUAUACUUGUCAUUUGGGCGUUUUAGUCGUGUCUUCCUUCUUAGUUGAGGUUGCAAAGCUUCUUGCACUUCUUUUGGGGCUUCAUGUACUACUGCUUGCCAUGGACUCUUUUUCUCUCUUUUUGAAGAAAUAGCUUCUGUAGGUGAUUCGUGUUUUUCACAUCUUGUUCUGGUUUUGUCCUACUUCCUUGUCCUUCAAGGUUAUGUUGUAGUUGUUGCUCCAAUUCUCUUGAAUUUGGUAGGGCGACUUCUUUGUACCACCAUGUUGAUGCUUCAUCAAAUACCAUGUAAGUUGUUUCUGCUCGCAUAACAUAGAUCGACUCUAAGCUUCUUUCUUCCAUGAUUGGCGAGCUUGUGACUUUCAAGUUUCGAUAUACUUUUAUGCCAUCUGGCCCAAACAAGACAUAGUUUCCUGAGGUUGUUAGUUGCGACACAGAUAGUAAGUUCUUCUUCAUAUCUGGAAAAUGGUAGACAUCCUGAAGUUCCACUUGUCUCGAGCUGUGACACGGCAUGAACACCGUCUUGCCAACCUUGCCUUUCCUGCAUAUUAUGUUGUUGACCUCUUUGAGGUUGAUUCUUCUGGUCUCCCCCCGGACGUGAGCUUUUCUCCUCGUCUCUUUUUGAUAGUCUUUCCUUUUGUUGGCGAGCGCCUUAUCUUCAUCUUUUAUAGAGAGUCUUGAAAAUGGCUUCUCCAAGUCUUCUUCAUUUGCCAAUAGAUUUUCCAACUCGGAUAAAGUUGGUUCUCUGGCCCACCCUCGUAUGGCCAUAAAUAUGCCUUUAUACUCCGGCCUUAGACCAAGAAUAAUAAUUCUCCUCAUCCUCGUUUCUAUGAUAGCAUUCUCAGGAUCUAAUUUUAAUAUUUCAUCUAAUAAAGAUUAUACCUUUGAAAAGUAUUGAUUGAUUCUCAUAUUUCGUUGUGAGAUCGACAAAAGCUCAUUUCAAGUCGUCGUAAUCUCGCAUCAUUCUUCUUCAAAAAGAAUGUCGCCAGUGUGUCCCAAGCUUCUUUAGCUUCUUUGGGAGAUUGGGCGUUCUUAAUCCGUUGUAGGAACUCACCUUCAAUUAUUAUUAAUAAUGCAUAGUUACUACAAUACUAUGCUUUAUUUUGAUGAUUUAACAAACCUGCUAACACACCAGGUCGAUCUCAAAAGGUACAAAGGAAUCAAGAUCUCAGGGCUUAAGGGAGACUGUUUCUCAGGGAGAUCGUGUUUUACAAGGACCAGAAGGAGGGACCAGGUCCAUUGGUCGUUGAACUUUUUGGCAGUCAACAAUAUAGUCAUACUUUUUAUAGGAAAGAUGGUGGCACAGCAGCAAAGCAGUAGCAGGCUUUCCAACCUCGACCAAUGAGAAACAUUCAAUGUUUUCCCUCUCAUUUGCUGCAUGUAUAUAGAGAUCAUUAUGUGAAAAGAAUUGGGAAUGUAGUCAAAAGGAACAAGGUGAAAGGGGGAACUUCUAGUAUUUUACAUGGUGAUGAAAAGAGAUGUGUGAGUUUGUGUUUGUCAUCAUCUUAUUGUGUUCAUGUUUUGAUGAUUGACAAACCUAGUUGAUGGAUCAGGUAUGUCAACUGGUGUCCCAAUAUCUAGCUGUACAAGUUUGUCUAUAUCUGGCAGCAGCAACAGAAAAGUGAGACAUGGUCUGCAAUGGUCCUCAUCAAGAUCCUAUAAUGAGAAAGCUUCUCUCUCAAUGCUCAUCCUAUAUAUAUUCAUCAUCUUGAGGAAAGAAGUUCAGAUUUUGCAUAUACUCAAAAAGAUCACUCUUAGCAAAAACCACUUCUCUUAAAGCUCAAAGCUCCUACAAUAAGGGACUUGCUCUUAGUCAAGAUAGUCAUUCUUUGCCCAUUGUUAUUUGAGUCUUUGUAAUCAUGCUAUAUUGUAAACCUACUGCUCUUUUGAGAAGCAAGUGUGGGUGUCAUAUUUGACUUUUCUCUUGUGAAGAAGUGUAUCAACUAGAGGUAGUUGAUAGUUAGGCUAGAGUUGGCCAAGGUGUGUCGACAAGAGUCAGUUAGUUGACUGUAGGCUAUAGUUGGUAUAUUGUAACGGUGUUGUCAUAAGCUCAAGGGGAUGGGGUUAAAAGGUUAACCCUAGGAUUAUGAGAGUGAGUCUGUCAUCCAACUAGGGGUGGCAAAUGGGGGAAUCGGAUUGAAUUGAAUAUGGAUUGAGCUUAAAUGGAUUGAGUUGCAAUCCACUCAUAUAAUACUGUUUAUAAAAAAUGAAUGUUUUUUCAAAAAGAAAAAAAACUAAUAAGUUAAAAAAGAAUUUGCAGCCCCACCCUACCCUAACCCCC
rnacentral:lncRNA from 1 species